AGUCAGCUGUGGCACUAGUUUGGAAAUAAAAGCUUUGGCACUUUACAAUAACUGCAAUAAAUGCAGCCUAUUAAAUGAAUUAUAAACAUUCAUGUAGAUUCUGAUAAUGUACAUAUCUUUGUCAAAAAUGUUUGAUAAGAAACACAUUUAGACAACAUGUGUGCGUAGCGCAGUACGUGUGAUGUCACGACGUCAUCAGCAAAUUUGCGCCCGGUGCACAUGCGCAUUGCGAGUUUGCGCAGACAGGUGUCUACGGUCGGAGUGGAAUGAAGAAGUUGCAUCUGAUAAUUCUUCCAUUGUGUAGCAGCAACUGCAGCUGACAUGGAAUGAGGAUUAUCGGAUUCACCUCUCACUGAUCAUCCAAGGUGAAUUGAUGACCUCAAGCAAAUGGAUGUUGUCAUCUGAAGAGAAAGUUAUCCUGGGCCCAUGUUUAGAGGCAUUUGGGGCAUAUCUGACACAUAUCACAAUCAAGCUGCAUGCACACUUGAGUUUAUUCAGAGAGAAGUUGUGGGCAUCAGUCCGGAAACUGGAUCAAAAAUUUGCUGCUGGAAUGUGAGACAAAUAAAGGCAUGGAAUGAACCCAAAUGUAUGAACACUGCUACGAAAACUAAUGGACUUUGAAUGGCUUGCCAGUUAAUUCCAAUGGAAUUGAAGAAGAGACUCUGACAAGAUUUUCAAGUUUGUGUUUAAUUUAAAAGUUUAUCUUCAUAGAUAAGCAAUUUAAAGGUAGGCACAGUUAAAACUAUUUCUUGUGUGUUUGUUUAAACUAUAAAUUUAUGACUGAAGUUUGGUCACUAUGUAGUAAUGUGUUCCUUUGUGGUUAAUUAAAUGCUGCAGUGCUUAGUGGUAUUCGUUGUUGUAUUUCCAAGGCUAAAGCCUUAUUUUGUGAUCUGCAUUGUAUUGGAGAGUUUUGGAAACUAAUACUUAUUAUCUUAAUGCAUUGGAAAGUUUUGGACUAUUGAACAAUAAAUGCAUUUGGCUACAUCUGUGAUUUUCUGUUAUUUUAAGUGUUUUAGUUUACAUUACAUUAAAUGAUUUAUCACAGCAGUUAAAAAAAAUUACAGAGCAAAACCCUAAAAGUUUCAAUGCUGAAGAGGGAUACAUUUUAAACACUAUAAAUUUACUGAUUUAUGUAAUUUUACUUACAUUUCUACAGAAAAAUAAUCAAUAAAACAUUUACAGAAAUUUUCUGUAAAAAUAAUUUUUUAAUCUGUAAAAAUGAACGGCAAAUUUCUGUGGAAAUUAACGGCAAAUGUCUGAAAAUUAACGGCAAAUGUCUGAAAAUUAACGGCAAAUGUCUGUAAAAAUUAACGGCAAAUGUCUGUGGAAAUUAACGGCAAAUGUCUGUGGAAAUUAACGGCAAAUGUCUGGAAAUUAACGGCAAAUUUCUGUGAAAAUUAACGG